CUUUCUGAUUCACUGAGGACACUUUGUAGUUUAGGGACAGCAAAUGACUUGGGGACAGAGAGGGUUGAGAGGAAAGAGAGAGAGGUGGUUUGAAUAAUGGAAGUUCCCCAAAUGAUCCUGUGGUGCUUGAUGUUUCUGCUCCAACUCCUUCCUGCUCCAUCAUCAAGACGAAGAAAGGGCUGCCCUUGGUCCCACCCAUCAGACUCAGCUCAUCAGGAGGCAAACAACAUUGGCAAAGAUGAAACCAUUCUUCUAGUCAUAGAACAGCUGUUUGAGAAAACACAGGCACCUGGAAGAGCAAAAGGAAGAAAGACUGAACACUUUUAAAGACAGAAGUGAUGCCAAAUUUUAAAGAUUCUGACUUACUGGAAGCAUUCAUCGCAUUUAAGAAUCUAGCAAGCACGUAUUUCUCCAUGGUUUAUACCCUGUUUGCCUACCCUUCCACUAGAUAAUAACCAUCUUUGACUUCUCAAAAAAUACUUGGUAAAACUUAAUUAGUGUUAAUUUCUCUAUAACUUUAAAAUAAAAUUUUAAAAUCUACAUGUAAUAAAUUUAUCUUGUA